rnacentral:misc_RNA from 1 species
GAUGAAGAACGUAGCGAAAUGCGAUAAGUAAUGUGAAUUGCAGAAUUCAGUGAAUCAUCGAAUCUUUGAACGCACAUUGCGCCCGCUAGUAUUCUGGCGGGCAUGCCUGUUCGAGCGUCAUUUCAACCAUCAAGCUCCUUAGCUUGUGUUGGGGACCUGCGGCUGCCGCAGCCCCCGAAAUGCAGUGGCGGGCUCGUUGUCACACCGAGUGCAGUAAUCAUUCUUCUCUCCGGGCGUGGCGGCGGGUUCCGGCCGUAAAAUCACCAAUUUAUCAAGGUUGACCUCGGAUCAGGUAGGAAUACCCGCUGAACUUAAGCAUAUCAAUAAGGGAGGA